AGAGUUUGAUCAUGGCUCAGGAUGAACGCUAGCUACAGGCUUAACACAUGCAAGUCGAGGGGCAGCAUGUUGGUUGCUUGCAACCAAUGAUGGCGACCGGCGCACGGGUGAGUAACGCGUAUCCAACCUACCCUUGUCCAUCGGAUAACCCGUCGAAAGGCGGCCUAACACGAUAUGCGGUUCACAGCAGGCAUCUAAGGUGAACGAAAUGUGAAGGAGAAGGAUGGGGAUGCGUCUGAUUAGCUUGUUGGCGGGGUAACGCCACAAGGCGACGAUCAGUAGGGGUUCUGAGAGGAAGGUCCCCCANAUUGGAACUGAGACACGGUUCCAAACUCCUACGGGAGCA
rnacentral:rRNA from 1 species